ACCUGUGGCUAAGAGGCAACAGCUAACAGUCAAAACUCUGCGGGGCAGAAUUAUGAUGGUGGUGAGAGAGGUUGUCCUAAGAAGAAGUAAGCGACAAUAAAUGAAAUGGCAAAGGAACGUGAAAUGUACAGCUUUAGAAUGUUCAAAGCAAGCUGAGCAGAUGUGAUAAGAUUUUCUGAAGUAAUUAAAGAAAUCAUUAUUGAUUUAUUCUCUUGAGACCAGCAUGAGUUUAAAGCUACAGCUGCAAGAAUGGAUAAAAAGAUAAGGAAGAAAAGUCUUUUUCUGAAUGUCUUCGCCAGGACACAGAUGCAUGUUGCAGUAUCCAUCAGAACAGCUAAACAUGAUACAGAAUCAGAACCCCAUAUACAACAGCAGAAAGAUCGUCUGUUUACAACAUUUAUUAAACAAUGUGUAUACUAACUUUUUGCAAAUGUCAUCAUACACGAUUUUUGAAGGAAAUACAUUUUGCGUAUUAAGAAUAAAAGCAUAAUUUAGAAGGUCUGACAUCUGUUUCAGAGUACCUUGUAUUUCCUGGGGAUAUCUGGGGGUAAUUAACAAUACAGAAUGCUGACAUAUGGAAUGUGUUUUAUGAUACAAGGUGGUACACUCAUUGCUGUAAUAAAAA